CUUGCUAGAAUAGGUGGACAAAGGAGACUGGAACAGUGACUGUUUAAGGACAGCUUCUCUGAAAGGCGACUCAACAAAGAAAAGAAAAGCCAGAUCUUACCUGACAGCAGAGAGCCCCAGAGAUGGUGCCUACCCGUUUUUGUAGUUCCUCCCCCUGCGCCCUGCCAUGCUGCCCAGGACCCCACACCAUUCGCAGGCCAAGGGUGCAAGACCAGCUCUCUUGGUGAGCCCAAGGAAAUGCAAUUUAAUACAUUCCUGCCUCACCAGGGCCACAACACAUGAUGUGUUUUGCUUAUUUGAUAUGACUUCUAUGGUUUUUGAAUUAGGACAAGAGAAUUCAAUCAUAAAGUGAUACAUGGUCUGCAGCUGUCACAAAGGCCUCUAUACCCGCUCUUAUGCUUCCACAUAGACAGAAAUCAAAUAUUUGGGUUUCCCCAUCGAAUUCACUGCUGGGAUACACCACUUUCCAUGCCUGUAGAUUUCAGUGGAGCUCCUUGGUGCACACAGACUCUGUAUGCCAUCACAGCAGAACAAGUCUCACCUGCUGUCCCAUUUUCACACCUUGGACAUACCACAAGCAUGGCUUUGGAAGUAAGAAACAACUGGCAUGGACUAGCUACCCGAAGAGCUCAACUGAAAUACAUAUUAUAAUUUUUUUUCCUCCUCUAGCACCAAUAAAAGUUUUCUUUAAUGAGGGAGAAUUAAACUCCUUCAGUCAAAAAUUCUUCCUGGUUUACUAUAUCCCUCAGCAUGACAGACCAUGGUCAAGGCCAGUUGGUUUUACCUGAAUUCAUUACCUUCCAAAAAAAUUAGUUUUACAUGUGCAGGGAAAUUUUUGCAUAAACUUCAAGUGACAUUGGCAAGCUUUCAAACUGCACAUGCUUAUUGUUGUUGCAGUUUUAUCAAAGAAAUAUUGUUAAUUAGCUCAAGCUUUUGCUCCAUUUUGUCAUUGUGUAAAUAGACUCUCCAGAAAUACACAUUCACUUUCUGCCUGAAGGCCCCUGAGGAGCUUGUAUCAUCCUAAGAAUUCAGGUGGGUGCUGAUGAAGGUGACAUCUGCAUCCAAAAAAGGAGGCAUGAUGUAUUUUUCAAGAGAACAUCUGCCUGCCAGGAGAGUCCCACUAAUGGCCUCUGAAUAAAUCAUAAUUUGGAUGUAAAUGGAGGAUAACUCUUGUGCUGCUCCCUCCAAUACUGGGAUUCAAUAACUACCAUAUCAGGGCCUAAAAACGUGCUUUGAUUUACCUUCAGAGGAAUGUUGUUUUGUUAAAAUUGAAGUGAUGAAAUCCAAAGAAAGAUUUAUCAUACUAAAUUGCUCUCAAAAGUAUGGGUGUUAUUUUGCUCUAAUUCAAAGUUUGCCUCCAGUAAUCAGUAUUUUUUGCUAGAUCUUCCAAUGAUUGCUUAAGACAACUGCCACCUAAUUUCAAUUACUCCUCCAUCUGUUCAAAAACACAACAUUUUUUUUUUCAGGAGGCCGAUACACUCUUUAUUUGUUGAUUCACCUAAAAAUAUAUAUAAAAAAAAGAUUUCCUCACCCUAGUUAAUGGGAACAAUUAUCUUCCCUUUAAUGUUGCCACCAUUUUGACUAAAGCUGCACCAUCAAACAGUAAUUAAACUCCCAGAAACUUCAUGGUUACUUAAUUCCAGUGAGAUUACAUUUGAUGUUGAAAGAAAAGGAAAAUUGAGUGUGUUGCAUAAUGUCUGUUUCAUACUGGACUACAAUUUCCUUUUCUCUUUCCUACAAAUUACCAGUUUGACUUUCUCCCUGUAUGUCUACAACCCCCUCAACUCAAGAAUUAAUUACACCAGCGCUGUGCUGACAGCUGAGGAAUACCCAAAUUCUCAGGCCAACAUCCAGGCCCGAGACUGAGAAGUGCAAGCAACCCUCUGUACCUGCCUCCCAGCUGUGGUGCCUGCAGCAGACCUGGAAGAGGCAUGGUCUCCACUCUGGGCAUGUGCCUUGAUCUAAUCUGCCCAUGAGGCCAUGGGACACCCAAGAAAUUCUCAUUCUCAUCCUUAAAUUGAAACCUUUCUUCAUUAAACACAUCAUGCUGAAACAUCUCAACUAUAACCGUACUUGCAAAAAUAAUAGCAAAUAUUAUGUGUUUAUGUAUUAAAGGUUUUCCAACAGUCAAAAACUUAUUUCAGAGGAAAAAAAAAAGCCACAGACUACCACUGCUGCCCUCCCAACCUACUGAACACUAUGUCCAUCAGAUAGCUCAGCUCUAGAAUGAACCACAGCACAUCUAUGUUGCCUCUCCCACACUUGAAUCAGCUCGUGCAUCUCCCUGGGGUAUUUGCUGGUCAGGUGCCUUGUGCCUUCUCUGGAUGGCAGCCCUGGGCACAGCUGGGCUUCCUGGGCUCGUGCUGACUGGCACAUCUGGCUGUGCCUAUGGAAAGAUAGUGAGAGGGCAGACUCAAACCUGCAACCAUGUUCAGCAGCAGCAAAGCCCUCACCAUCACCAGAGCACACUGUGACAGAUAAUUAAUGAGACUUUGCACAAGUAGUCAGUAACAGCUGGGACCAACCGCAAACCUUUUGCUGCAUUAUACUUUCGGGCAAAUUUUUCAAACGUGUCUAACAGUCAUUUUGAAAACUGCCAAAAUUCUCUAAGAUCCCAAGUCCCACUAAAAGCUGGUCAGGCUCAGGCUGCUGAGUACCCAAACUGAUCGCUACCCCACACCUACUCAGCUCACAGUGGGCACGGCACUGUGCCCAAACUGGGGCACAGGCUGGGCAGACCUCAUGGUACCAUAGACACAAUGGAAAGAUACUUGGCUUCUCCACACCGUAUUCUACUUUCUGGGGCAUUUCCAAAGGAAGAAAGAAAGAUGGGGCCAGAAUUUCAGAAAACUUUUUGUAUCUAAAAAUCAGUCAGAGAUUUAGGAGAACUUUCUAACGGAAAAUUAAUGUCCAGCACAGAAAAUA